GGAGAGCAAGCAGGAAGGGGCGUCCCGAGAUAGGCGCUGUCUUCUGCCUGAGCCAUUCACCUGCCUGCUCAUUUCUGGAACUGCUGGUUUGGUCAACUACAUUAUCCAACAGAGCGAAGAAAGGACGCUUUUGCUUGAGCACCUGGGCUGGAGGGGAGAGUUUGAAGAAAAUCCUGGAGAAGAUGUCUGUGCCUGUGGCUGUGAGGGGCCUGGGCCGAGUGUGAAUGUGCUGCACGGUGCAGCCACUGAGCCCUGUGAACUUCAACCCCGGCACUGUCUGGAAGUGAGAACCCGAGCUUUCUCCUGUCUCCCUGGCCACGGAACUCUAGAGUGCACUUGUGGACGUGGGUGCGACUGCCCCAGAGCCGGCAGCAGGAUGCCCCGGUGAUGUGGACUAGCCUGGCCCAGGCCCGC
rnacentral:lncRNA from 1 species